AACGAACGCUGGCGGCAGGCUUAACACAUGCAAGUCGAACGGGUGCAGCAAUGCAUCAGUGGCAGACGGGUGAGUAACACGUGGGAACCUUCCUAGGGGUACGGAACAACUCAGGGAAACUUGAGCUAAUACCGUAUACGUCCGUGAGGAGAAAGAUUUAUCGCCCUUAGACGGGCCCGCGUCGGAUUAGCUAGUUGGUGGGGUAACGGCCUACCAAGGCGACGAUCCGUAGCUGAUCUUAGAGGAUGAUCAGCCACACUGGGACUGAGACACGGCCCAGACUCCUACGGGAGGCAGCAGUGGGGAAUCGUGGACAAUGGGCGCAAGCCUGAUCCAGCCAUGCCGCGUGAGUGAAGAAGGUCCUCGGAUUGUAAAGCUCUUUUGCCAGGGACGAUAAUGACGGUACCUGGAGAAUAAGCCCCGGCAAACUUCGUGCCAGCCGCCGCAGUAA
rnacentral:rRNA from 1 species